rnacentral:rRNA from 1 species
CGGGUGAGUAACACGUGGGUGACCUGCCUUCGAGCGGGGGAUAACGUUCCGAAAGGGACGCUAAUACCGCAUGACAUCCUGCCUUUGAAGAGGCGGCGAUCAAAGCUGGGGAUCGCAAGACCUAGCACUCGAAGAGGGGCCCGCGUCCGAUUAGCUAGUUGGUGAGGUAACGGCUCACCAAGGCCACGAUCGGUAGCCGGCCUGAGAGGGCGGACGGCCACACUGGGACUGAGACACGGCCCAGACUCCUACGGGAGGCAGCAGUGGGGAAUUGUUCGCAAUGGGCGCAAGCCUGACGACGCAACGCCGCGUGGAGGAUGAAGAUCUUCGGGUCGUAAACUCCUUUCGAUCGAGACGAACGGCUCCUGGGCUAAUCACCAGGAGAGUGACGGUACCGAGAGAAGAAGCCCCGGCUAACUCCGUGCCAGCAGCCGCGGUAAUACGGGGGGGGCAAGCGUUGUUCGGAAUUACUGGGCGUAAAGGGCUCGUAGGCGGCCAACUAAGUCGGACGUGAAAUCCCUCGGCUUAACCGAGGAACUGCGUCCGAUACUGGAUGGCUUGAGUGUGGGAGAGGGAUGCGGAAUUCCAGGUGUAGCGGUGAAAUGCGUAGAUAUCUGGAGGAAC